ensembl:snRNA U7 U7 small nuclear RNA
UCUUGCUUAUAGCUCUUUUUGAAUUUGUCCAGCAGGUCUUCCGGCUUUUACCGGAAGGCCCUU